CCUACGGGAGGCAGCAGUGGGGAAGUAUUGCGCAAUGGGGGAAACCCUGACGCAGCAACGCCGCGUGAGUGAGGAAGGACUUCGGUCUGUAAAGCUCUGUUAAUGAGGAAAAAUGGUAGUUGGUCUAAUAGGCCGAUUAUUUGAUGGUACUCAUAGAGGAAGCACCGGCGUAACUUCGUGCCAGCAGCCGCGGUAAUACGAAGGGUGCAAGCGUUGUUCGGAUUUAUUGGGCGUAAAGCGCGCGUAGGCGGACCUGCAAGUAAGAUGUGAAAUCUCGAGGCUCAACCUCGAAACUGCGUCUUAAACUACAGGUCUAGAAUCUCGGAGGGGGAAGGGGAAUUUCGCAUGUAGGGGGUAAAAUCCGUAGAUAUGCGAAGGAACACCAGAGGCGAAGGCGCCUUCCUGGACGAGUAUUGACGCUGAGGCGCGAAAGCGUUGGGGAUCAAACAGGAUUAGAUACCCUGGUAGUCCACGCUGUAAAACGAUGAACACUAGGUAUUGGAGGUAUUUCGACCCCUUCAGUGCCGUAGCUAACGCGUUAAGUGUUCCGCGUAGGGAAGUACGGUCGCGAAGACUUAAACGUCGAAAGGAUUUGUAGCGUUGAGACGNGCGAGGACGACGACGAGGGAGGAGG
rnacentral:rRNA from 1 species